ensembl:lncRNA
CCACAUCCACUUCAACUGAUGCCAUCACUACUUCAACUACAUCCACAGUCACUUCAAGUGAUGCCACCACUACUUCACCUACAUCCACAGUCACUUCAAGUGAUGCCACCACUACUUCAACUACGUCUACAGUCACUUCAAGUGAUGCCACCACUCCCUCAACUACAUCCACAGUCACUUCAAGCGAUGCCACCACUACUUCAACUACGUCUACAGUCACUUCAAGUGAUGCCACAACUCCCACUGCUACAUCGACAGUCACAAGUGAUGUCACUACUCUAAGACCAAUAAUGCCAUUAACAAGUGGUACUACUACAGUAAUAACAAGAACCUCAACAUUUGUAGCAGUAUCCACUCCCUCAACUCCCUCACAGGGACUAACUUUCAGAGACACUACUUUGGUGACAACAAUCAAAACCACUGUUGCAGAAUGCGUGUCAGAAACUCUGGUGAAUGUCAUCAGGCUGGAGAAAAUCACCAGUAAGUUAAUCAGUGUAAGUUGGACAGGUAUUAACCUGGACCAGCAGAUACAGUACAAAGUGAAGCUGGAGUCUGGUUCCAACUCAAGCCAGAGUGAGACCUCAGCCACCAAAGCUGUUUUCUCAGACCUUACUCCUGGAACCAUGUACACUCUGAUUAUUGAGUACUUAUCCUGUAGUAUCAAGAAAUACAUUUCAGCAAACAUAAUCACUGCUGGAAAGGUCUAUGAAUCUUUCACUCGAAUUCCAGGCAGAGAUUUUGUGUCUGAUUAUACAAAUCAAUCCAGCAAACUUUACAAAGACUUUGUAACAAAUUUCACCAUGCAGGUUGAAAACAAUCUCCCAAAGGAAUACCGGGACCUUAUCAGGGAUAAAGAAAUGGUGAUUGUUGUGACUGGUGUUCGCAGAGGAAGUGUGAUCGUUGACUUUGAUCUGGUCACUGCUCUGGAGGUCAACCUGUCAACCUCUGACGUGCAGAACAGCGUCAUCAAUGCGCUGAAAUCAUCUGCACUCGGAGUGGAUCUGAAUAUCACCUCUGUAAAAGAGGCAGAUAUCUGUCAAAGAGGCAGUUACACAUGCUCAAAAAAUGCCAGCUGUGUCAGAGCGGGACCUUCACAUACAUGUGAAUGCAAGGCAAAAUUCUAUGACAAAAAUCCAACCGUACCGGGUACUGACUGCAAGAGAGUUUCCCAGAUAUCAACGGCCCCGGGAGAAGGCUGGAAAGUGGCGACCAUAGUCCUGGGAGUUCUGCUGGGCUUGAUUUUGUUAGUCGGGGUUGUCGUUCUGGUCAGCACCGCAGUGAGGAAAGCAACUAGCAAGCUGACCUCGUACAACCUCCAGCACACAGAGCACAACAGACAGGCGGUGUCCAAUGACUAUUUACAAGGAUGUUAUUCUUACCAGAUCAAAAAUAUCAAGAUAUUGAAUAUUAAUAACAUUUGAAUUAUAUAUUUUGAUAGACAAAAGUAUCAGGUAUCACACCAUGUAAAGGAACAACGUCCUAAUUCUUUAAUUGUUUUAUAAAAUGCAACUGGAUUGAUGUCAACUCCGUCAGACAAAUAUUUAUUAUCCAACAAGUGUUAAAUAAAGGCCUUGAUUGUUUAAUUCUAACAUUACAUUAUUCAAAUAUGAUAUGAUAAUGCUCCAAGGCUAAUUUUGUUAGCAUUUUGACAUGUUUCUCUAGAUUCAGAACAUAAAACAACAUUUAGAAAGCAAACAAUAACCCUUAGGUCUAACACAGCAAAUAAGUCAGUAGUUUAAGCAUAUGUUGCAACAAUGUUAAAAUAUUUUUUUCUGAAUAUUGACAAAAAAGAUCGAUAUUAAGAGGGUUAGCCAUCAGUGAGUUGACAAGCCAUUGACGAGGCUGACAACAAAUACUCAAAACAGCCUCUAAAAAUAAACGUUUAAUACAAACAUUUGUAAAAAUAUAACCAUUCUAUCAGAUCUUUCAGCACUCUGACGGAGUUGACUUUAGACAAAAAUCUGACGGAGUUGAUGUUUUACGGAGUUGACAAAAAUCAAAUAUUUCUUCUUCAAUCAAGUAAUAUGCUAAGUUUAUCCUCAGUUUCUUUAUGACUCUAAAACCUAAUCAUAUAAUGUCCUAUCUUAAUCUAUUCGGCAGAUGGGAGUUGACAGUUUAUGAAACUGACAAUGGUGAUUUUAAUAUUGUUUGUUUAAAUCUAUCAAAAGGAGAGAACUUUACAGACCAUGAGUUGUCUUGUUGCACUACAGGUAAUGAGGACAUGAAGAAGGUGUCCUGAUGGUGAAGCUGUCCCUGCUCAUUCAUGAUUCAUUUAGGAUUUUAGACAAAUCUGCCAAUGUUGACUAAAUCUCCUAGUUUUGAGAGAAAUAUUCUUUAAAGUCAGAGGGCUAUUGGAAGAAACUACAUACAAUAUUUUUUCAGUUAGUAUUCAUUAUUGCUUGUUUGGAGAGUUUGAAAUUGGGAUCCUUUGUAAGGGCAUGUCACGUUCUGACCUUAGUUUCUUUUUAUGUCUUUGUGUUAGGUUGGUCAGGGCGUGAGUUGGGGUGGGUAGUCUAUGUUCUUUUUUCUAUGUUAUAUUUCUAUGUCUUGGCCUGGUAUGGUUCUCAAUCAAGGACAGCUGUCUAUCGUUGUCUCUGAUUGAGAACUAUACUUAGGUACCCUUUUCCCCCACCUGUUUUUUGGGAAGUGUACUUUGUCUUUGUUCAGGGCACAUAGCCCAAAGCUUCACGGUUUGGUUUUUGUUCUUUGUUUUGUCUGUGUAAUUUUUGAAUAAAGAGAAAAUGUACGCUUACCAUGCUGCACCUUGGUCCAGUCCUUCGCCAGCCGUGACAGGGCAUUUCUGGGUAUAGAGCCGAC